rnacentral:piRNA from 1 species
UGGCCUCCCAAGUUAAAUGUGUAUGUUGCA